rnacentral:lncRNA from 1 species
GCUGACAUGGCGCUGAUACCAAAAUUAAACCAGGAUUAUAAAUAAUAAAGUAAAUAAAGAGCAGAACAAGAAAAUAGAAGAAGAACAGGUACUAUUCACAUAAAAUUAAAACAGAAAAAGUACAGAGUAGAAAUUAAAAUAAAAGAGGCGCAAUAUUUACUGAAUUAGGAAGCUUUAUUCACAUAUAUAACGUGUCGGUGUCCUACUUUUUCAGAAAAUUACGUGUCGGCGUGUCCGUGUCGUGUCGGUGUCCGGUGUCCCAUAGACCACAGGUAUAACACUUAGAUGUUUUGUGAACUUAAUUAUGUGAAUUAUGAUGCACUUAUGAGAACUAGGUUUUGUUUCACAGGCUUUGCUUCAGACACCUCUACAAGAACUUCAAGGACUUGAAAGGGGGAAAACACUUGGAAUCUCUUGCAUGGGGAGCUGCUAGAGCCAAUAGGAAGCAUGACUACAAUAAGUGGAUGGAUAAUUUAAAAACAAUACACCAAGAGGCUCAUGAUUGGCUAUUGAAGAGGCAGCUAUUCCAUUUUUGCAGGUCUCAGUUUGAUUACACAGCAACCUGUGAACACAUCACCAACAACUUUAGUGAAAGUUUCAACAACUUUAUCAUGGAUCUUAGAGACAAGACCAUCACUGGAUUUGUAGAAGAAUAUUGUUUGCUCAUCAUGACUCAUAUGAGAAGAAGACUUAACAAAGCAAGAAAAAUGACUCCAGGUGAUGUUGUUCCUAGGGUAACAAAGGCUAUUGAGGCAUUGAAAAAGGAGGUUCAUGAUUUUGAGUACUGUAAUGCUAGUGAUACUAAGUUUUGUGUAUCUUUGAGUGCUGGUGGUAGUAGUAGAUGGACUGUAGAUGUGCAAGCAAGAACUUGUGAAUGCAAUCAAUGGCAAUUGACCAGGAUACCCUGCAAACAUGCUAUGAGUAUUAUGGAACAGAGAAGGAGGAACAUACCCAGGUAUAACACUUGGAAGCAUUAUUUCACUGUUUCUUCUAUUGUGUUGACAUGAAUGCUUAACAGUUGGAACUUAUUUGUGUAUUGUGUAUUGCAGCUUCUGUCAUGAAUCCUUAACAAUUGCAGCUUAUAAAAGAGCAUAUCAGCAUGCAAUCUAUCCAAUUCCAAAUGACUUUGCUUGGGAUGAGGUAAGUUUCAUACUAAACUAUGAACUUGUUAAUUGGAAUUCCAAUGCACAGCUUAUAUAUACUGACUAUUGGUCUUGUAAUAGCCUUCUUAUGUAGUUCUUCCUCCACCACUGCACAUGCCAACAGGAAGACCAAAGGGUAAGAGAAUUAGAGGGGAAGAUGAAACUGUUAAAGCCACUAAAAAGGUGAGAAGAUGUAAGAAGUGUGGAUCUACAAACCACACUAGAGCAACUUGUAAGGGCUUGAACAGAGAGGAAAUAGCAGAAAGAGCAAAGAAAUCAAAGAGAGGCAAGGGUGGGGGAGUUUCAAAGGGACCAGAUCCAUUUACUGACAAGCCUCAAGAAAAAAACAAGGAAGAAAAAAACACCAACAGCUGCAGGAAGAGGAAGAGGAAGUGGAGGUAGAACAGGAACAUGAAGAGGAAGGGGUAGGGGAGCUGCUCCACCAGACCCAAGAACAACACAGACUGGACCUCAACUUGGAAACUGAAGCACAUGGGGGUGUUGUAAAAGUCAGACAAACUCGGUUGAAGUUUUUUUGCUUUUUUUGUGCUUUUGUUAGUGCUUAUUGCACUUUAAACUGGGAAUAGUGUUGUUGUUGGUUAGUUUAUUGGUCCCAGAGUAACUUAUUCAAACUAGUGAUGUUUUUUGGACCACUUGGUGGAGUUUUAUGUGUACUACGUGAAUGUGCACGCUCUUGCGUGCUAUUAAAGAUUGAGUAAUGUGGAUAUGGGCCUGGGCUACUGUAUCUCUAUCUGUAUCUAAGCCACUGUGGAUAUGGGCCUGGACUACUGUAUCUCUAUCUGUAUCUAAGCCACUGUGGAUAUGGGUCUGGGCUACUGUAUCUCUAUCUGUAUCUAAGUCACUGUGGAUAUGGGCCUGGGCUACUGUAUCUCUAUCUGUAUCUGUAUCUGUAUCUAAGCCACUGUAUCUGUAUCUAAGCCACUGUGGAUAUGGGCCUGGGCUACUGUAUCUCUAUCUGUAUCUGUAUCUGUAUUUAUAAGAAACAGGUGUCAAUUUCUUACACUGCCUAGAUUACUAAAAGGAAAAGAGUAGUUGUUGUGAAAUAGAUGAAAUUCGAAGGAGAAGUGAAACGACAGAACAGAGUAGUUGCUGUGAAU